rnacentral:rRNA from 1 species
UACGUAGGGGGCGAGCGUUGUCCGGAUUCAUUGGGCGUAAAGAGCUCGUAGGCGGCUUGGCAAGUCGGGUGUGAAAACUUCAGGCUCAACCUGGAGCGGCCACUCGAUACUGCCAUGGCUUGAGUCCGGUAGGGGAGCGUGGAAUUCCUGGUGUAGCGGUGAAAUGCGCAGAUAUCAGGAAGAACACCCGUGGCGAAGGCGGCUCUCUGGGACGGUACUGACGCUGAGACGCGAAAGCGUGGGGAGCGAACAGG